rfam:Medicago truncatula strain A17 chromosome 8, whole genome shotgun sequence.
AAACAGCCCCUUAUGUAUUGGAUCUAUGGCGGUUUUGACCCCUAAGGCCACUUUUGACUUAGUAUUCGCUGACGUGGCACCCAUAAUGGUCGACACGUGGUACCUCACUUAAAAGAUGUGGGUGCCACGUCAGCGAAGACUAAGUCAAAAGUGACAUUGGGAGCCAAAACUGCCAAAGAUCCAAUACAUAGGGGUUGUUU